CCUACGGGUGGCAGCAGUGAGGAAUAUUGGUCAAUGGGCGGAAGCCUGAACCAGCCAAGUAGCGUGCGGGAUGAAGGCCCUACGGGUCGUAAACCGCUUUUGCACGGGGAUAACACCCUCCACGCGUGGAGGUCUGCAGGUACCGUGAGAAUAAGGGCCGGCUAAUUCCGGGCCAGCAGCCGCGGUAAUACGGAAGGCCCGAGCGUUAUCCGGAUUUAUUGGGCUUUAAGGGAUCGUAGGCGGGCGUACAAGUCAGCGGUAAAAUCGCGGGGCUCAACCGCGCCCCGCAGUUGAAACUGGAGGCCUUGAGUUCACAACAGGCAGGCGGAAUUCGUGGUGUAGCGGUGAAAUGCAUAGAUAUCACGAGGAACCCCGAUUGCGAAGGCAGCCUGCCGGGGUGCGACUGACGCUGAGGCUCGAAGGUGCGGGUAUCAAACAGGAUUAGAUACCCUAGUAGUC
rnacentral:rRNA from 1 species